AGAAAUAACCGAGAAAGAGUGAACGUUCGGAAUUGGUAAUUCGGAAUUCGAUUUGGAUUUCACGUCCGUCGACAGACAAUGUAGAAAUUGUAUGAAAUUUCGACGUACGUCAAUGGAUGAUAGUGAAACCUGGAAAACAACGGAGCUACACUGAGCCACGGGGCGUGGCUCUUACUCGCACAAGACACAACCAAAUUCGUGAAAAUGACACGGCAUUCAUCCCACGUAAUCCAAAUGAAUUCUCACAUGAUUGUGAGAAUAUAAAUACGUGACAUUCACCCACUACGCAUGCGCAUGUGGUUGACAUUGUAGUGAGGUCGGAAAUUCACUCGAAUGGUAGGGCGGUAAAACGGAAGGUACUUUUAUGUGCACUGUACACAUGCGCGGAAAAAUAUUUAUGUCAUCGAGGAUAUAUAUCUACGCAGCCUGCCGAACGCACUUCAUUCCUCUCUUUUCCGGCCUUCAUCUGCAUCUAUUACAGAGAAGUGGAGGACGCUGACACGCUGUACCGUUCCCACAUAAAAUGAGAUAAGGAUUUUUGCGGUUCUGGGUGUAUUGCCGUCCUUGAGUGUGUUUUUAAUACUUAUGACGUAGACACAGUUUCACAUUUGCCAUAACGGUCCAUUCGUCUUCAAGAAAAUGUAUGGAGUAGUGGCAAAUCUUCAAUCCGUGUGGAAGUUACAAAGAAGUUAGUGGCAAAUUGCUUGUGGCAAACUAAAAACACUAGUUUUUGACCUUAAAGCGAUAUAACUAAUCGAUUUUAAUACGUUUACUAUUUGUCAUAAUGGUGAACAGGAAGACUUAUUUAUAUCACAUUACAUCCGUUUACAAAAUUAACGGCGUGUUCGGCUCUUUAAUUUGAAUAUUAUGGUCUCAGCUCGUAUAAAAUUUGAUAUAAAAUUAUGUAAGCGACUUAUUUCUUGGAAAAAAGUUCAUAUUCGUUUAGAACAGUAAAUGCCGGCUCCACACUGUCGCGGACCAGUUCGCUAUACUUGUAGAAUUCGGUUUUUCAUUACAUAUACAUUGCUGGUUUUUCAUUGCGGUAAAUCAAAACACUCAAACUUUUCGUAUUUAUAAUAUUAACAUGGAUGAUGCCUUGUUUAACAAUUCGAAAUAAAUCGCUAUCCGCGAUGAGGCUGCCUUUUGCAGUAUGUAUUUAUACUGUGUGACUCAUUUGUGCAAUAAAAUAUUGUUGUAUGUAUGCCAAU